CCUACGGGUGGCUGCAGUGGGGAAUAUUGGACAAUGGGCGAAAGCCUGAUCCAGCCAUGCCGCGUGUGUGAAGAAGGCCUUCGGGUUGUAAAGCACUUUCAGUGGGGAAGAAAGCCUUGGGGCUAAUACCCUCGAGGAAGGACAUCACCCACAGAAGAAGCACCGGCUAACUCCGUGCCAGCAGCCGCGGUAAUACGGAGGGUGCGAGCGUUAAUCGGAAUUACUGGGCGUAAAGCGCGCGUAGGCGGUCUGAUAAGCCGGUUGUGAAAGCCCCGGGCUCAACCUGGGAACGGCAUCCGGAACUGUCAGGCUAGAGUGCAGGAGAGGAAGGUAGAAUUCCCGGUGUAGCGGUGAAAUGCGUAGAGAUCGGGAGGAAUACCAGUGGCGAAGGCGGCCUUCUGGACUGACACUGACGCUGAGGUGCGAAAGCGUGGGUAGCAAACAGGAUUAGAUACCCUAGUAG
rnacentral:rRNA from 1 species